rnacentral:rRNA from 1 species
GUGAGGAAUUUUCCGCAAUGGGCGCAAGCCUGACGGAGCGACGCCGCGUGAGGGAUGAAGGCUUUCGGGUUGUAAACCUCUUUUGCUUGGGAAAAAGGUCCGCGUGCUCAUACCACGUGGAUUUGAUGGUACUAAGCGAAUAAGCCCCGGCUAACUACGUGCCAGCAGCCGCGGUAAUACGUAGGGGGCGAGCGUUGUCCGGAAUUACUGGGCGUAAAGGGCGUGUAGGCUGUUGGGUAAGUCUGGUGUGAAAUGCUACGGCUCAACCGUGGCACUGCGCUGGAAACUACCUGACUGGAGUGCAGGAGGGGUCACUGGAAUCCCCGGUGUAACGGUGAAAUGUGUAGAUAUCGGGGGGAACACCUGUGGCGAAGGCGGGUGACUGGCCUGCAACUGACGCUGAGACGCGAAAGCGUGGGGAGCAAACAGGAUUAGAAACCCGAGUAGUCC